ACGAACGCUGGCGGCGUGCUUCACACAUGCAAGUCGAACGGAAAGGCCCUGCUUUUGUGGGGUGCUCGAGUGGCGAACGGGUGAGUAACACGUGAGUAACCUGCCCUUGACUUUGGGAUAACUUCAGGAAACUGGGGCUAAUACCGGAUAGGAGCUCCUGCUGCAUGGUGGGGGUUGGAAAGUUUCGGCGGUUGGGGAUGGACUCGCGGCUUAUCAGCUUGUUGGUGGGGUAGUGGCUUACCAAGGCUUUGACGGGUAGCCGGCCUGAGAGGGUGACCGGCCACAUUGGGACUGAGAUACGGCCCAGACUCCUACGGGAGGCAGCAGUGGGGAAUAUUGCACAAUGGGCGGAAGCCUGACGCAGCAACGCCGCGUGCGGGAUGACGGCCUUCGGGUUGUAAACCGCUUUCGCCUGUGACGAAGCGUGAGUGACGGUAAUGGGUAAAGAAGCACCGGCUAACUACGUG
rnacentral:rRNA from 1 species